rnacentral:rRNA from 1 species
UGGGCAACCUGCCCUCAGCUCUGGGAUAACUCCGGGAAACCGGUGCUAAUACUGGAUAUCGACUUCUGCCUCGCAUGGGGUGUUGUUGAAAGUUUUUCGGCUGGGGAUGGGCCCGCGGCCUAUCAGCUUGUUGGUGGGGUGAUGGCCUACCAAGGCGACGACGGGUAGCCGGCCUGAGAGGGCGACCGGCCACACUGGGACUGAGACACGGCCCAGACCUCCGUACGGGGAGGCA